rnacentral:rRNA from 1 species
UACGUAGGGGGCAAGCGUUGUCCGGAAUCAUUGGGCGUAAAGAGCGUGUAGGCGGCCUGGUAAGUCCGCUGUGAAAGUCCAGGGCUCAACCCUGGAAUGCCGGUGGAAACUGUCAGGCUCGAGUCCGGAAGAGGCGAGUGGAAUUCCCGGUGUAGCGGUGAAAUGCGCAGAUAUCGGGAGGAACACCAAUUGCGAAGGCAGCUCGCUGGGACGUUACUGACGCUGAGACGCGAAAGCGUGGGGAGCAAACAGG